rnacentral:misc_RNA from 1 species
UGGCUCUCGCAUCGAUGAAGAACGCAGCGAAAUGCGAUAAGUAAUGUGAAUUGCAGAAUUCAGUGAAUCAUCGAAUCUUUGAACGCACCUUGCGCUCCUUGGUAUUCCGAGGAGCAUGCCUGUUUGAGUGUCAUGAAAUUCUCAACUAAUCUCUUUCUUAAUUGUGAGAGGUCAGCUUGGACUUUGGGGGUAUGCUGGCUGCAAAGUCAGCUCUCCUUGAAUAAAUUAGCUGGACUUUUCCAAUCUCUGGACACAGUACACGGUGUGAUAAUUAUCUACGCCCUGGUCAAUCUGUGCUUGUCAAGCUUCAAAUCCAGUCUUAGGACUACACUUUUAUGAUCUGACCUCAAAUCAGGUAGGACUACCCGCUGA